GUUCGAUUGGGGAGACCGUGAUGGAAAAACAGUGACUAAGGUAGUGAGAUGUUUGAAAGAGCGACCUGUGACUGUGAGUGCUAGUAUGGUGGUGAACAUGACUGACCUCCACACCUUUGCAUGUACUAACAAUUCAGUAAUACAGAUAUGGUUGUCACUUGUAACUAAUAUGGGGAUGAAGCCAAGGGUUUCUGCUGACAAUCUGGUCCGUCUUCCAGCUACAUGUCAGAAUGUUUCUACCAAAGUGGGCCUCCAUGUGAGAUAUCAAAUGCUGUUCCCAGAAAUACCUAAAUGUAAGCCCUGUUCCAGACCAAAGAGAGAAUGGUAUGAAACUUUG